rnacentral:lncRNA from 1 species
CUUAACUUCAUUUGUCUGAUUCAGUACUUGAUGAUCUUUGUGUAGUCUGCAAUGGUCUUGACCAAGGCUCGACCUGUCUCGACCUGUCUCGACUUGUCUUGACUAGUCUCGACUCAGUCUCAACCAGUCUCUACCUGUCUCGACUAGUCGUGACCUUCAAAUUUAGUUUUGACUGGUGUAAAUCAGCCCAUCUAACUAAAUUGAAUAU